GUGCGUUCCCCUGAGGAGGGUUUGGCUAAACCCUUGCAGUUGUUGGUCUUUGAAGGUUGUUGCCGGAAAUGAAUUCUGUGGCGUUGAAACUUGCGAAGCAUCUCCGAGUCUCUUUCAGCGCUGGUGUGCCACGAAGCGGGACGUUAUGGUACUCGACGUUACAAUCUCAAGGUGAAGGUGAAGGUGAAGGUGAAGGUGAAGGUGAAGGUGAUGGACCUUCACCAGAUAAUGAUGAACCAACGAAGGAAGGAUUGGAUGAAGAAUUUGAUGAUUUUCUGGGUGGAAAGCCCAAGCUAAAACUGCAGAGUGUGGAUCCCAAGAGGGGUUGGGGAUUCCGUGGUGUGCACAAGGCAAUUAUUUGUGGAAAAGUUGGCCAAACCCCUGUGCAAAAGAUAUUGAGGAAUGGCAAGAAUGUAACCAUCUUUACGGUUGGAACGGGGGGAUUGUAUGACCAGAGAAUUGUAGGAGAAAAGGAUUUGCCAAAACCUGCUCAGUGGCAUCGGAUUGCUGUGCAUAAUGUUGUACUCGGGGCCUAUGCAGUUCAGCAACUCUUCAAAAACUCUUCAGUUUAUGUUGAGGGUGACAUUGAGACUAGAGUUUAUAAUGAUAGCAUCAAUGGGGAAGUUAAAAGCAUUCCAGAGAUAUGUGUUCGUCGUGAUGUCAAUUUCAGUGGUCAUUUAUUUAAUUCAUGGACAAAAUGCAUAGGCAUUUUUCUUGCAAUAGAACUGGAAAGUAGAUUUUAUGUUGUUUAAAAGGAGGCAGCAAGCAGUGCACUUCUCACAUGACAUGUUACAACGUGCAUUAAGUAUGGACAACAGUUGGCUUAAAAGGGAAAAUUCGUCUCAUCAAGAGUGGGGAGAGCGUUGAUAAAACUUCCUUGGAUGAGUUGCGAGAAGGGCUGUUUUAGAAGAAAUCUGAUCAUCUAAUGGAAGCAUCUGCUUCUGUAAGAAUUUUAGCCUAGUGUUGACGCAGCAUUUGUAAUGAACACAAAAUGCUUUUGUUGCUUGAUUUUAUUUUUUUCAUAUAUAUUCUUAAGCAUUCUGAAUCUCAGUUUCCCAUAAUCAUUUUCUUACAUGGGAGAGGUGUAGAAGAACACGUUUUUGGUGUCGAUCGUCCUGUAAUUUGGAUAUGAAUAUGAUACUCAUCCCCUAAAACCUGGAAGUAUAUAGUUCUAAAUUUAUCAUAUCUUCUUAAAGUUUGCUUAUUUAUCGAAGCCCGUUUCUCAAUUAUUUUUCAAUGUGUUGUGGGAUGAUUGAUGCACCCGGUGAAUCAGAAU